rnacentral:rRNA from 1 species
UGGGGAAUUUUCCGCAAUGGGGGGAACCCUGACGGAGCAACGCCGCGUGCGGGAGGACGGCCUGUGGGUUGUAAACCGCUUUUCUCUGGGAAGAAGAACUGACGGUACCAGAGGAAUCAGCAUCGGCUAACUCCGUGCCAGCAGCCGCGGUAAGACGGAGGAUGCAAGCGUUAUCCGGAAUUAUUGGGCGUAAAGAGUCCGUAGGCGGUUUAGCAAGUCAGAUGUUAAAGACUGCAGCUCAACUGUGGGCGAGCAUCUGAAACUGUUGAACUAGAGAGCGGUAGGGGUAGAGGGAAUUCCCAGUGUAGCGGUGAAAUGCGUAGAUAUUGGGAAGAACACCAGUGGCGAAGGCGCUCUACUGGGCCGUGACUGACGCUGAGGGACGAAAGCUAGGGGAGCGAAAGGGAUUAGAUACCCCCGUAGUCC